GACGAGGGACCUAGCGUUGUUCGGAAUCAUUGGGCGUAAAGCGUGUGUAGGUGGCAUUGUAAGUCAGGUGUGAAAUCCCCGAGCUCAACUUGGGAAGUGCAUUUGAUACUGCGAUGCUUGAGUAUGGAAGAGGGUAGUAGAAUUCCAGGUGUAGUGGUGAAAUACGUAGAGAUGUGGAGGAACACCGAUGGCGAAGGCAGCCCCCUGGGUCAAGAUUGACGCUCAUGCACGAAAGCGUGGGGAGCAAACAGG
rnacentral:rRNA from 1 species